ACAAAGCCCGGGCCGCGCCGGCGCCUCCUCGUCCCUCCCGCCGCCGGAAGGUUUGCGACUGCCUCAGUGAGCAUGAUGAAACACUGAAAUUCAUGAACCAACUGUCUGGAGUGGCACAUAUAUUACUGUAUGUCGUCUCUGCCUUCAGGUUACCUUAUCACUGAAGCAGAAUGGUAAUGGAUGGCAGCAGAGUACUUCAGGGGGGUGAGGGCUCUAUCAGUUAAGAAGCUGACACAUAGAAGGUUUCAGGAAUAUCUUUAAUUACACCUAGAAUUAUGUACAAAGGAAGAUGGUCCUUGUUACCUGCUGCUGCGCUUCAGAGUUUACAGGCUCAGAAGCAGACGGGAUAACAAGGUACUUAUGUUUCAUUUUUUUAAUACAUGACUUGAUACCUUUAACUUUUACAGGAGCCCAAGGAUUUCUGGUUGUGCUGUUUGCAUGCUUGCCAUGUUCAGCAAUGGCAGCAUCUCAACCCAGUCUUGAUGCUCAAGUUCCAGAGCAUCUGCUAGACCUUCUCCCAGUCUGAAGACUGCAAAGGAAACAAAGAACAACUCUGAAAUAAAUAAAUGCCCUUUGAAUUUCUCUCCCCUCAACCUGUUCAAACGACAGUGCUUGGGGAAAUCAAUGCAGUGAGACUACAGCGGAAUGAAACAUACAUGCAUAUAUGUGUAUCUGUAUAUACACACACACAUUUUUUCCUUGGUAUAAGCACCAUAAAAAGAAAUGCAUGUGCAAUAUGUGCACAUGAAUGUAUAUAUCAGUUUAUAUGAUUGCAUAUAAAUGCCUAUAUAAAGAAGACCCCUGUCUGCAGAGCAUGCAGUGUGUUUAUUAUUUCAGAGGCUUUCACAUCAUCUUUAAAAUCUAGCUGACUGUAGAAUGAAACCCAUCAGGGUAAUGCAGAGAUAGAGACUAAAAAUUAAUUUAAAGCAGACAAAGAGCAAAUACAGAAGAGCCGUUACGAUUUAACUAAUUUUUAAAAGUAAGUGGAACGAAAAUAUAAAAUGUAUUUUGUGUGCCAUCUAGUCAGCAAUUGUUGCCAUCAAGUGGACUGCCGAUGCCCUUUAAGAUGGUAAAAAGAAAACUAGUCCUUUAUACCAUUUUCCUGAAAAUGUUAGGUUUCUGUUUGAUCAGCAGGUGCUGUUGAGAUGAAAGCCAUGUGUAAAUUUUCAGAAGGCCAAAAGUGUCAAUUCAGAAAAGGAAAGUGAUAAGAGAAAAUGCAAUCAGUUUUCCUGUUUUCAAUUUGUGCAGGAUUUGAAGAGCUGUUUUGUUAAACUGCUACAUCUGCUCCAAUAUGAAUAUUGAACUACUUCCACUAAAAAUAACACCCUAUAAUUUGGAAGCCAUUGCAAUCUUUUGUUAAUGCAAGUGGGUUAUUUGAAAAAAAAAAAUCUAUUCUGAAAAAUCUCCUGCCUAAUGUGCAUUUUUGUUUAUCGGCACUUUUAUCUUCAGCAGAUAAAAUGGCAUUAUGCAAUUAGUACCAUAUCUCUUUGAACUGGAAAAAUGACACUGGAUAGCUGAAUGUCACUAUGUUGGUAAAAGGAUUUAACUUGUACUUUAAAAAUAAUUUUAUUAAUAAACUAUGAUUGUAUCUUAAAAUGACAUGUGGCUGUUUCCCCAUUGCAGCAAUACAGUUUUACUUAUUACUGAGGACCUUGAGCAAUGUAAAGGAUGUUCAGUAUAUGACAGAACAUUCUUUGGCUUGUUUCAUUCCUGAUAUACCUGCAAAUCUUAAAUUUAGGCUCAUCAAGGACAUUUUAGUUAAUGGGGAUUUUGAAGUAACUUUUUCCAUGGUAAAUGAAAUGACUAAGUCAUAUUUGAAUGCAUAUAUACAAAAAUAUUCACUGUUGUGGAGCUGCUAAUCCAAGUGAGUUCUGUGAGUUGGAAAGCAUAGUAUUGGUAGAGCAUACAUUUUAUAUCAUAAGCAUCUCUGGAGAACAUAACACGGUUGAUUUUUAAUUAAAAAAAAACAAAACAACCCAACAAUAACUUAAUGGAAAGGAUAUGUGUUUGUUAAUUUUAUAAAUAAGGAUCUAAACGAAGAAGGGAUAAUUCACUGUUUCAUCUAUGGAGCUCUGUGUACAUAACAUGAGUAAACAUUCAGAAUAGAAUGAGAGUUUUUAUUGCUUUAUUUCAAUAUUUCUCUUAUUUCAACAUAGAGAAUUACCUGGUUUUAAUAUUAGAAUGAGUUUUAGCUGUUGAAUUCUAAUCUAAUCUAGUAGUCAGGAACUAAUUUUUUUUGGUAGGUGUCUGCAUGGGAAAGGUUCUUGCUGAUGCUUCUGUUUGGUUUUGCAAUUGGAUUUGUAAGCUUUUGACCUUGGGGGGAUUUUUGUCAAAGUGAUCUAUAGAUCAGAAAUAAUUAAAAUUCAAUAAACUGAAAUUUAAAUAUA